rnacentral:ncRNA from 1 species
GUUCAUGCCCAGCUCCCUCAGCCUGCUCACGCACGCCUACCAGGAAGACGGGCUGCGCAACCGCAUGCUGGCGGCCUGGUCCGCCAUCGUCGCGGUGGCCGGCGCGGCCGGGNCCCCAUGAACCUUUACUGUAGCUUUGCAUUGGACUGUGAACCGGCCUGUGUAGGAUAGGUGGGAGGCUUUGAAGCGUGGUCGCCAGAUCACGUGGAGCCAUCCUUGAAAUACCACCCUGGUUUGUUUGCGGUUCUAACCUAGGCCCGUUAUCCGGGUCGGGGACAGUGCAUGGUGGGCAGUUUGACUGGGGCGGUCUCCUCCCAAAGUGUAACGGAGGAGUUCGAAGGUACGCUAGGUACGGUCGGAAAUCGUGCUGAUAGUGCAAUGGCAUAAGCGUGCUUGACUGUGAGACUGACAAGUCGAACAGGUGCGAAAGCAGGACAUAGUGAUCCGGUGGUUCUGAAUGGAAGGGCCAUCGCUCAACGGAUAAAAGGUACUCUGGGGAUAACAGGCUGAUACCGCCCAAGAGUUCAUAUCGACGGCGGUGUUUGGCACCUCGAUGUCGGCUCAUCUCAUCCUGGGGCUGUAGCCGGUCCCAAGGGUAUGGCUGUUCGCCAUUUAAAGAGGUACGUGAGCUGGGUUUAAAACGUCGUGAGACAGUUUGGUCCCUAUCUGCCGUGGGCGUUGGAUACUUGACGGAGCCUGCUCCUAGUACGAGAGGACCGGAGUGGACGUACCUCUGGUGUACCGGUUGUCAUGCCAAUGGCAUUGCCGGGUAGCUAAGUACGGAAGAGAUAACCGCUGAAGGCAUCUAAGCGGGAAACUCGUCUGAAGAUUAGGUAUCCCGGGGACUUGAUCCCCCUGAAGGGUCGUUCGAGACCAGGACGUUGAUAGGUCGGGUGUGGAAGCGCAGUAAUGCGUUAAGCUAACCGAUACUAAUUGCCCGUGCGGCUUGAUCCU